rnacentral:rRNA from 1 species
UACAGAGGGCCCAAGCGUUGUUCGGAUUCACUGGGCGUAAAGGGUGCGUAGGCGGUGAGGUAAGUCGGAUGUGAAAGCUCCGAGCUCAACUCGGAAAUGGCAUUGGAAACUACCUUGCUCGAGGGUUUGAGGGGGGACUGGAAUACUUGGUGUAGCAGUGAAAUGCGUAGAUAUCGGGAGGAACACCAGUGGCGAAGGCGGCUCUCUGGACCGGUUCUGACGCUCAGGCGCGAAAGCGUGGGGAGCGAUCCGG